CCUACGGGGCGCAGCAGUGGGGAAUAUUGGACAAUGGGGGCAACCCUGAUCCAGCCAUGCCGCGUGUGUGAAGAAGGCCCUCGGGCUGUAAAGCACUUUCAGUGAGGAAGAACGCCUGGUGGUUAAUACCCAUCAGGAAAGACAUCACUCACAGAAGAAGCACCGGCUAACUCCGUGCCAGCAGCCACGGUAAUACGGAGGGUGCGAGCGUUAAUCGGAAUUACUGGGCGUAAAGCGCGCGUAGGUGGCUUGAUAAGCCGGUUGUGAAAGCCCCGGGCUCAACCUGGGAACGGCAUCCGGAACUGUCAAGCUAGAGUGCAGGAGAGGAAGGUAGAAUUCCCGGUGUAGCGGUGAAAUGCGUAGAGAUCGGGAGGAAUACCAGUGGCGAAGGCGGCCUUCUGGACUGACACUGACACUGAGGUGCGAAAGCGUGGGUAGCGAACAGGAUUAGAUACCCUGGUAGUC
rnacentral:rRNA from 1 species